AUUGAACGCUGGCGGCAUGCCUUACACAUGCAAGUCGAACGGCAGCACGGGUGCUUGCACCUGGUGGCGAGUGGCGAACGGGUGAGUAAUACAUCGGAACGUACCUUAUCGUGGGGGAUAACGCAGCGAAAGCUGCGCUAAUACCGCAUACGCCCUGAGGGGGAAAGCGGGGGAUCGAAAGACCUCGCGCGAUUAGAGCGGCCGAUGCCUGAUUAGCUUGUUGGUGGGGUAAAAGCCCACCAAGGCGACGAUCAGUAGCUGGUCUGAGAGGACGAUCAGCCACACUGGGAGUGAGACACGGCCCAGACUCCUACGGGUGGCAGCAGUGGGGAAUUUUGGACAAUGGGGGCAACCCUGAUCCAGCAAUGCCGCGUGAGUGAAGAAGGCCUUCGGGUUGUAAAGCUCUUUUGUCAGGGAAGAAACACCGGCUCUAACACAGUCCGGGAAUGACGGUACCUGAAGAAUAAGCACCGGCUAACUACGUGCCAGCCGCCGCGGUAA
rnacentral:rRNA from 1 species